UCCACUCCUUCCAGAGGCCAGGACAAUAGGUCAGUCCCUGCCCCAGACAGGUUACAGUGGGGACAUGCUCCAGCUCCCUACACUUCUGCCCUGUCCAGCCAUGGGCUUGUUGAGACAGGCCCAACUGUGGGAUCAUGUGUCAGCCUACCCUCAGCCUGACUCUGUCCCUAGGGAGGUGCAUUGUACCUGAAGACGGUGCAGCCCCUGUGGCUGCUAGUUUCCUGGCUGGGACAGUGGGAACAGCUUUUGAUUCUGAAAAGCCCCGGUCCAGCUGUCCUGUGUGGAGCCCCUGAAGGCUCCUCAAACCCAGCCCAAGGAAAGCCACCAGCUUUUGCAGCUUCCUGAGAGGCAGGUCCAUCACAGGAUGUUGACUCCACCCCUUCCCUGGACAGCCUGUUCCGAUGUAUUACCAUGCCUUCUGAGAAAAAAUUAUUCCUAAUAUCCAACCUGAACCUCCCGUGCUGCAACUUAAGGACAUUACCUCUCACAAGAACACUAGUUACCUGGGAGAAGAGGCUGACCCUCACCUUCCUACAACCUCCUUUCAGCACGAACCCUAAACAACUUCUGCAUAUCAAGCAAGGAAAUGUACUGAUUAAAAGGUACUAGUGUCUGCAUGGUAACUGUUGAGACAUGGCCUGAACCACUGAUUGAGCACCUGGGGAAAGGACUCAGUCAGCCUUGAGAACACAGGUGUGGGUAAUUCACCUGUGUGACCAGAAGGGCUGGAGCCUGGCUCCACCUCUCUUAGACCUCAUUCGAGGGCUGACUGCCACUCUGGAAGGAUUUCUGGUUGGAGAUCCCUCCUUUGUGGAGUUUUUCCCUGCAAGCCUAGAUCUUCAGAGAUGGUUCUUUCCCCCAUCUUACUGUGGGGGAAUGAGUGGUUGUGAUCUGCCUGCUGACUUAAACUACUACCAGCAGGGUAGUGGAGCUCAAGGAAGAGGUAGAGAGAUUAAGAUCCAUCAGGGAAUGUGAGCGGGAAAUAGACUGGUGGUGUAACUCUCUGCCGGAAAGACGCCGGAGUGAAACCCCUCAGUCGGUGGCAGAUCCUCUCGCCUGCCAUGAUCGAGCUGAGGGAAACAAACUGGGAGAAGAGGAGGAAUGGAAGCAGGUCCCAGCUUGGCGACGCAGGCAACCCCCAUCCUGGCCUACCUUGCUUCCCCAGGUGCCUCUGUGUAACAGGUUUGAGGCCCUGGAACCUGAGAGAGAGACAAUUCCAGAUCCUGUUCUGAGAGGGUGGUUUUUUUGGUUUUAUGUGCAGAACUGAAGCUUUGAGCACUCAGUUGCUAUGGUAACAAAAAGGACAGAAACAGUUUAUGUAUUUCAAAAGCUGUCAGCCUAACUGCUGGAGAUUUUGAUAACUAAACCUAAACACGAACCAUCCUUUUUUAAAACCAUUGUGACAUUUAUUACUGUGCAUAGCUGUUGCUAGGGAAAACAAGGCAACUAUUUGUUUAGCUUAUUUCCUGUCAGUUUUAUAAAUAGUAUGGAUUUUAGAGUUAAUUCAUAAUCUUAAUCAGUGUUUAUCAAAUCUGAAUGGAAAUAAAAAGUGAGCUGGCAAAUGGUGUGCUUUUCUCUUUUUUUUUUUUAAAUAAAUUGAAUGACUGUGCUGCAAUAGAAAGACAGAACCACUAAUGUAAGGCAUCUUUUCUAUAUUACAGUUGAUACAUACUAAUAUGUGCUCAAACAAUGUUAAAUGGAGAAUGAAAAAGAAAAAAGUAUUUUUACUGUAUAUCACAGAAAAUACAGCAUUUUUCUAAGCCUUAAAAGAGAGUGGAGAUGCUGGGAAGAAUUUGGAAUGAAAAGAGACUUAUUCAAUAGUUAGCUUUUAUAGAUACUGAUAUUGUCCACUGUCCUAUAAGGCAUUUGUCUUACCACAUGAUAGUGAAAGUUUGUAACGAGCAUAAAGCUCCUCUCAGUUACAUCUCAGGAAGUAACACAGUUGAGCUCAGUUAGAAGAGGGGAAAAAAAAAGAUCAUUACUUAAGAAGGAUUUCUUGAAGGCAGAGAGGAAAGAGAGUGGAAUAAAACUGUCAGAACACUUUUUACAGUAUUUUGGCACAUACCCUCUAGCUUUUCCUUUUCUAAGCCACGCUUCACAAUAUCACAAAGAAGCCUGUGAUUUUUUUCAAGAUUCUAAUUUGUUAAAUAGUGAUAGUUGUGCUUCUAGAAGACAUGGCUUAAUAGAUUUGAGAUCAAAUGCUAUAGACACACUGCUGUUCUGUUCCCUGAUCUAUAUCAAAGCAACAUGAAAAUAUGUGUUGCAAUACAAGCAGAUGUUCAGAAUUCCUAAUAACAAAAUUCCAAGGGCUUCAGGGAGUUAGAAGGAAGACAAAGCCAUAGAAAAUUAGAGCAAUGAACACUUUUUAAUUUCUGGCUUUCCUAGUAGUAAGACUUGCAUCUUCAUUCAGCCAAGUAACUGGUAACUUAUACUAAACUCUUCACAGGUUUGGAAACUUGCUCUGGAUGUAUAUAAAAAUUAUUACCACGAGUCCUGCAACAUUUAAAUUUAAUUAAAUACUGUAAAGCAAAAAAAAAAAAAUUUUUCGUAAUAUUGAAAGUCAUUUGAUAGCGUAAAACUUCUAUGCAUCUCUGCCUAGAAGUUCAUUUUGAGUUGAACAAACAAAAAAAAAAAAUAGAGAAAAACUCAGUGCUUUUAAAAACUUCACCCUUGACAUCUUGUUUGUGCAGGUGGUAGAACACUAACCUAGCAAUUGGGUUUAUUAUAAUAAAUAUCAUGGGGGUUGCUUUUCCAAAUGCUUUUAGUACAUAAUAGGGAAUAUUUCCAGUUGAAAAUAUAUAUAUAUAUUGCAAUACCAUCACACAGUAAUUCACUGGCUUGUUUUAUAAUUGGCCUACAGUUUCAGCAGUUAGAAGAGUUGGGCUGAAGUCCUAGUUCUAUUGCAGUAGAUUAAAAGAAUUUAAGUUAGAUUAAUUUAGAUGGGACCAGAAUUGUGUUUGCCAAAUCAGCCAUUGCCUGUUACUUUUUUUGCUGCAUAAUCUUAGGCUAAAGAAAAUCAUUAUCCAUUAGAUGAGGAAAGUAAUUUCUCUUCCCCACCCCUCUACCCCCAGUAAAAGGGAUGCCUUCAAGGUCAUAUUUGCUAAUGACUUUUAAAUUACUAUGCAUUUGUAUAUAAUCACUAAUAGACUAUGAAGAAUUAUGUGAGUCUCAGAGACAAGUGUUCUGAAUAUACACAGUAUAUUACAGAAAAUGCUACAUGUGCUUCAGUAGGAAUAUGACACAGACUUCAGUAUUAUUUAAACUGUAUUGCGCACUAAAAAAAAUCCCACUGCUAUCAGUAAAAAAAAUAAGAACAGAACGAACAACAACAAAAGCCAUCUAAAUGCUGCUUAGUCUUUGGUGUCCCCACCAAAAAGAGGAAAAAAAUCCUCAUAAAAUAGCCCAUACUGAAGCAAAAGAGAUCAUGCGUGUUGCACAGAAAGGGAAGAGAAAACUAAUAAUACAGAUUACUGAGGAAGAUAUUAAUAUGUAUUUGUCCCAUGUAUUUCAGACCUUAGUCAAGAGAGUGUUGCAGUGGAUCUGAGAGUAAUACAGCAUCCUGAAGAGAACAAGAGGUAGUUGAGUUCUUUAAUUAUUUUUAAAGGACUGAUUGAGCUAAUAGCUGGAUUAAUUUAACAAAACCAGGUGAAUAAAGAAAUAGAAAGAGAGAUGUCUCUCAAAAUCAGAUUUAUCAAGAGGAAUAUCCUUAUCAUUCUGUUCCAGUCCUACCAUAAUCAGGAAGGAGUGAAAACAAAAACUAAUCAUAGCACUGUGCUGUGUUACUCACAAGAUCGUAACUGGCAGUAAAAUAGAAAGACUGUCUGCUGCAGUGAAUAAUUUCCAUGCUGAGGCCCAGAACAGACAAGUACUAUCAUUUGUAACAUCUGUCUCAAAAAACCUGAGCCAAAAUGAGCUAGUUAGAAAGUUACAUGUCUUCCUUUUAUUUCAAGAAGCUUGGCUUAAAAAAGCCUUCAGGGAUUUACAUUUUGAGAGAUUUUUCUAAAACAGAUAAAACACAUGAACCAUGGCACAAAAAGACGUUUAUGCAUCUUAUUUUAGAAAAACAUAAUCAUGAGGUACUAUGUAAUGGUGUAUAUGUGUAUGCAUACCUAUGUAAGUAUAUACCUAUACCCUUCAAGGUACUUACUGGAAAAUGUGCCCUUAAUGCUAAGUGAGUAAGUGUAUUAAAUACUCUAUGAAUAACAGAAACCUACAAAAAAAAAUCUAUGAUAAUUCAAGUGUAACCCAAUGAAAAAAGCUUAGGUUGUUCCUUCCUCCCUUCCUUUUUCCUUCUUCUCCUUCUCUCCCUCCUGUUAUGUGUUUCUGUUAAGAGUACAUUAAACACACAAAUGUUUGUCUCUUUACACAACUGUUUUUUAUCAUUAUAGAUCAUGAAGGGAGAAGUGACGAGACAUAAUUUCCCUUUGUGCAGGUAAUGGUGCUAGACUCAGUUCUGUUGUUUGAUCUAAGUGUUAAGAGAAAGAAAAAACACUAACCUACCUUUAAGAUGGAAGCUACUUUAAGUAUAUGUUACUGAUUACGUCUUCAUCAGCAUCAAUUACUGCAGUCAUCUGGUAUAUUUUGCUUGUUACAACAUAAAUUAUAAUAUAUAAAUUCAAUGCUGAGUCAGUUCAUUUUUAAUUUGCCGGAUUCAUUGUAUAACUAAUACUGAAAGGCUGAAAGCAUUUUAUUCAAUUCUCAGUCUUGUCUUCUCAGCAGUCUGAAAUAAUUCUGUUUUAAUGCAGUAAGAUGUAAUUCUUUUUCCAAAAGCUGUAUGUAGUUUGUGCAAAGAAUUUGCAGAAAAGUUGUGUCUCUUAAAUAGUAACAAUUAGUUGGCCCAGCCUGCUGGAAUGGAAGACGAAGUUAUUUUGCAAAUCUUUCCUUCUUCUUCAGUGAUGCGUAUUUACAAAGGAAUCAAGCAUAAAACUAAUAUCUGCGCAUGGCAUUGGUAACAUUCACGAUAUCUAUGUUGCAAGUGAUUAGUCCUUUUAGCUGAUAUUUUCAAUCCAGAGAGAUGUUAUCACAUAUUUUCUGUACGAUGAUGACUCAGAAACUGCUUACAGAGUGGGAGAACUUGGUUCCCAUUGUGGGCACACCAUGAAAAUAGUCAGAGGUUAGUAUUGCAGAUGUAGCAUAGGAGUGAUGUGACCGUUUGUCUAAACCAUUUCUGCCAUUCUUUCACUUUACGUAAGGUAGUUGACUAUACUACUUCCAUUCUGAGCAAAGCAAUAAAACUUCCACAGCAAUACAGAUCUAGGCUUAUUUACAUAUUUACCAAAACUCAUCACCACCAGUUGCUACUGUAUACAGCUGUGUCACUCAACAUCUGAACAGCUUCCUGCAAGUAAAUAUAUUAUUAAUUGUGGAAGAUCAGCUAAUCCAACUGAUGCUAGAGUAGUGACCACCUAACCUGUAUGAGAAGUCAGAAGAUACAGAAAUUGUAAACAAGGCUUUGUCUAACAUAUACCAGUUAGAGGCUUUGUGUAAGAACAGGUGGUAUAGAGCCCUUCUCUCCUCCACCCCUGUCAUAUAAAGUACAAGAUGCUUGCUAUCUUAGGUAUUCUGUCCUAAUCUGACAGAACAAUGUACUCUCUUACACAACAAGAGCUAUAUAAAUAACAAAUAACAAUAUAGAAAAAUAUACUGUAAUUUGUUGAUAAAACUCCUGAGAUUCCACUCUCUGUCAUAGCACUUUAGGAGCAGGUGAUGUCUGAUGUUGUGUUUCUUGAGAAACAUACAUUUGCAUUUAUGGAAAAACACUGAUUGUUUCAUUACUUUUUUUUUCAACAAUACAGUAAAGUACUAAAUCUUCACGUACUUUUCUUGUAAAGCAGUGCUUGUUCAUCUUCCUCUGGGGUUAGAAACGUAGUUCUUCCAGUGCUUAUCUCUACCAUUAUAUUGUUUGUUCACAAAAUUUGUGUCUAUUAUAAGUGCAUGAGAAUACUCAGAAAGCCCAAGUAUCUAUUUAGAUUCUUCAUGAUGGGGUUCAUAUAAACUGAGUAUAGAAAGGGAUCAGUACAAGAUAACCUGAGCUCAGCUAUACUCUGUCAGGAUAAAAAUCGAUGUUAUAGGGGGGAAAUAUGUGGAAGUCAAAGGAAUCACUGAACUUAAAUCCCAAUCUAAAGCAAGCAUAAAACACUUUGCACUGGUAUAGCUUUACGCAAUAUAUUUUAUUCUUUAUAAGUAAUUUAUAUGCAUUCAGUUUUGUCACUGUGUCAUGGUUUUGUGAUUUUCGGUUAUUGGUACUCCACAUCAUAACAUCAUGUAGUGGAUAUACCUGGUUCUCAGAAGAGAAGGACUACUACAGUCCCCACGGUACUUUGCUCC